GUUGUGGCCUUCCAAGUGUGUUGUUAGGCUGCUGAGAUAUACUGGGUGCGGUGCGUUGUUGGCUCUCAGUGUGGUGUGCCUUCAUGGCUCCCAUUGAUUGUGGCCUCGCAGUGUAACGUAGCCCAGGUCGUAGCACCAGUUGUUGUAGUUGUCACCUUUUAAAGAGGAGCCUUUAAAGAGGUUGUUGUUGUCAUGAGCAUUACACCAUCGUAUUAACGGGUAGGUAAAUCGCUCUAAUCGCUAAAUAACUUCAGAUGUUUUAUUGUAGUUGUAA